AUGAAGAUGCUGGUGUUGGUGUACUCGGCGAUCGCCGCCGCCCGCUUGACAAGAUCACCCUCCACCGCCACCAGCUCCUCCUGGGCCUUCUGUCGAAACGUGGUCAAUUGGGCUAGAUUUAGCCCAGGGUACCACGCCUUGACAAACUCCAAGGCCCGGCGUGCUCCAGCCCGGGCCGAGGAGCCCUUCCAGGCCUCAAGACGGUCGGCCGCCACCUCCAGCCAGUCGGCAGUCCGACUGGGAGUGCGCGGUGCCGGCAUGUCCGGCCACAGGGCGGAAAUGGCCUGUGCCCCAAUGCGCUGA
rnacentral:rRNA from 1 species